rnacentral:rRNA from 1 species
UCGAGCAAACGGGUGCGGAACACGUACGCAACCUUCCCAAAACUGGUGAAUAGCCCUCCGAAAGGAGGAUUAAUACACCGUAACAUAAUGAAGUGGCAUCACUUUAUUAUUAUAGCUCCGGCGGUUUUGGAUGGGCGUGCGCCUGAUUAGGUAGUUGGGGGA